CCCGCCGGUUCGUGAAACGGUACUAAUCACCUGACGCGUUCCCCAUAAUGAUUUACGAAAAUGAAGAUCGGUUCUUGAAGCAUUCAUUCCCGGACGACUCUGACAAAUAAUCGAAUUCAAGGCAUUCAACCGUGUGGAAAUAUGGCUUCCUUGGGUACACUUUUAUUAUGUCAGUACGAGUGUACGCUUUGAGAAAUAAUGCGAAACGUUUUAAGCUAUUAAAACAUCACCACUUUUAUUUGAGGUUAUAAACUGUCGACCGAUCGGGAUAGAUUCGAACCCGGAUCUUUCUCGCUUCCCGGACGGCUGCUUAAUUAAGCUAUUCCGGCUGGCCGAUGACACGUUCUCUCUCGGUUCUUGUAAACACAAACAAACAACACGUGUCAGAUAUAUGCCGGACACCUACAAUGCGCUGGGGAGCAAAAUUGAGUCGACACUUUUGACACGGAAGUCCGGAGCACACCUAUCACACCGUCACAGAAAUCUCCGGCUCCGGUAUUCAACGGAUGGGCUCGGAUGUGGACAGAAUACAAGAGCAGAAAUAUUGAGAGGCGAAAUGUGAACGCGAGAUGGAGAGCUUUGCACCGGAUAUUCCCCGAUUUUUGAUGAGAUCUGCGGGCCAUCCUUUUAGAUACGUCGGGUAACAAGAUAUUUCUUCCUCGAUCUUGGCACGAUUUAUAAUAAAAUCGAAUUUAAUUAAACGAGAAGAGGUCGAUGUAUCGUUGCCGAUACGAAUCGAAGAACAUUUUUGGGGCGAAUAAACAAUUUCAGGGAGUCCGCAAAUUUA